UAUCUGGUUGAUCCUGCCAGUAGUCAUAUGCUUGUCUCAAAGAUUAAGCCAUGCAUGUCUAAGUCCAAGCUGUGUUUACACGGCGAGACCGCGGACGGCUCAUUAAAAUCAGUCGUUGUCCAAAUGGGCCAGUCCUUACUACUUGGAUAACUGUGGUAAUUCCAGAGCUAAUACAUGCAACUGUUAACCCCGAAGGCGGGAGCUUGCCUCUUGCUCGACGGGUGCUUUUAUUAGACCAAACCGCUGGGAGAGACUCACGUCUCUCGACUCGCUGUGUGGUGACUCUGGAUAACCAAUUUUGACAAGCGCACGUACCCCUCGUGGGACGGCGCUGCCACUUUCGAGUGUCUGCCUUAUCAGCUGUCAACCGUUCGUUACACGCGACCGAUGGCUUUGACGGGUAACGGGGAAUCAGGGUUCGAUUCCGGAGAGGCAGCCUGAGAGACGGCUACCACGUCCAAGGACGGCAGCAGGCACGCAAAUUACCCAAUCCCAGCACCUGGGGGAGGUAGUGACGAAACCUAACGAUGCGGGCGCCCUUUACGGGCCCCGCAAUCGGAAUGAGCACUUUCUAAACAACCUGUUGAGAACCUACUGAAGGGCAAGUCUGGUGCCAGCAGCCGCGGUAAUUCCAGCUUCAGUAGCAUCUAUUAAAGUUGCUGCGGUUAAAAGGCUCGCAGUUGAAUGUCAGUGCCGGUUGUUGGUAGGUGGACGUUGGGAUGUCAGUUAAAGGCGCAAGCCAACUGGUCGCUCCCGUCCGUUAAAAGCCUCCGCGACCGUGUACACAGUGGCGCCAAGCGGAGGGGAUGCGUUCGCGUGUUCUUCUCUCUGGUGCCAAUGUCACCCUGAGUAAAUCAGAGUGCUUAAAGCAGUCGUAUUGGGCGCAAGCCUUUGAACACAGUCGCUCCUUCGCGGGUGACACGGACAGACUUGGUUUUGCAUGGCAUGUCAGAACACGACGUCGGGCGCUGGCUCAGAGUUCUUCUCAGUGGUAUAAGCCAGCCUCGACGUACUGAUUAAAAGGGCUUGUCGAGGGCAUUGGUAUUGCGGAGCGAGAGGUGAAAUUCUAUGACCUCCGCAAGACCGCCCGAAGCGAAAGCGUCUGCCAAGGAUGUUUCAUUAAUCAUGAACGAAAGUUAGAGGAUCGAAGGCGAUCAGAUACCGCCCUAGUUCUAACCUUAAACGAUGCCAACCAUCAAUCCGCGCGCAGCACCCUCUUUGCGGGCUCGGCGGGCAGCUCUCUAUCACGGGAAACCAGGGUCUCUGGGUUCCGGGGGGAGUCUGGUUGCAAAGCUGAAACUUAAAGGAAUUGACGGAAAGGCACCACCAGGCGUGGAGCCUGCGGCUUAAUUUGACUCAACACGGGCAAUCUCACCAGGCCAGCACUCUAGCAUGAUUGACAGAUUGAGAGCUCUUUCUCGAUUCAGUGGAUGGUGGUGCAUGGCCGUUCUUAGUUGGUGGAGUGAUCUGUCUGGUUAAUUCCGAUAACGAACGAGACUCUCCCCUGCUAACUAGUCGGUUGGAUCUUGAUCUGCGAGUGUGUGCCCUGUGAGGUGCUUGGUUGUUGCUGCGUGCGUGUUUGUGUCCCCAGCAAUGGGUGAUCCUGCGCGUGCGUUGGUGGCUUCCAUUGCUUCGCUGGUAACGCAUACUCCAAGUCCGCCGCUUGUCUUAGAGAAUAUUCUUCUUAGAGGGAUCCACGGCUCUGAAGCCGUCAGAGACUGAGAGCAAUAACAGGUCUGUGAUGCCCUUAGAUGCUCUGGGCCGCACGCGCGCUACAAUGCCGGGCACAGCAGGUGUUUCUUCCUGCUCCGAGAGGAGCGGGCAACCCUCUGAAAGCCCCAUACUUGACUUGCGUCGCCUUCACGGGCGCGCAGGAGCGGCGUGCUUGGGCCUGGGGCUUGCAAUUAUUCCCCACAAACGAGGAAUGCCUAGUAGCGGUGGGUCACUGAGCCCGCCGUGACUGAGUCCCUGCCCUUUGUACACACCGCCCGUCGCUACUACCGAUUGGGUGUACCAGUGAGAGCCUUGGACUGGCGGCCGUUGCUUUCCUUCAUGGUAGCAAACGGACUCGACUGAAAGAGGUCCGAACUGGUGCACUUAGAGGAAGUAAAAGUCGUAACAAGGUUUCCGUAGGUGAACUGCGGAAGGAUCAUUA
rnacentral:ncRNA from 8 species